rnacentral:lncRNA from 1 species
GUCCCAAUGCCCAGUGCAGGUUUGUCUCCUGCAGUGAUCCAUGUCCGCACAGUUCCUCCGCUGCUGGGAACAGAAGCACCUUCCUCAACCACCAGCACAGCAGCUGAUGAUGAUGCAUUGGUGCAGCCUCACCGUGUUGGCACCGCAGAAGGGACACCGGGGAGAGCACAGACCGUGGUGCUGUCUGAUGUCCAACACAGCACAGGGACAUCACCCCACUCCCUCACCUGGAGCCCAGCUGAGCUGCACACAGCCACUGUGCGCCUGUCCCAGGAGGUGACACCAGGGCUGGACGAGGCCACCUCUCCUCUUGUCACAGCAGCCAGUAUGACUGCGGGGAACACCGAGCCUGCAUCAACCUCGUCUGACCGUGUCACAUCUCCCACUGUGCCAGCAGCCACAGGGUCACCCCAUCGUGUUGGAAUACAGAAAUCAAGGGCCGUGAUCCCCCCAGGCACAGCCCCAGCAACAAUCACUCCUUCUCCUGCCAUUGACGGUGUCAGUGAGGCCACAGCCCCAGGGCUGCCAGCCCCCGGAACGUCUGGAGAUGGACUGCACAGAGACACAGCCAUCACCCAUGCCAGUGUCACCUCUCAGCUGCAUGCCACCACCGCAGCAGCUCAGGGCACGUCAGCCACGGCCAUGGAUGUCAGCACUGCACCGCAUGUAUCCACCGCCCCGUAUGCAGCCCUGGGCAGUGCUGAGAUGAUGUCCAUCACCACUGCUGAAGCCACCACAGGCACUGCUGCCCUGCAGACCGAGCACACCCCAAAAGGGCUGGGUAUGGGGACAGCCGCCAGCGUGGCUGCUGCUGUGUCACUCUCAGAUGGUGUCCCUGGAGGAGGGUACAGCACCAGUACCCGGGCAGUGAGAGGUGCCUCUGCUGCCCACCCCAGUGGUAGCUCAUCUGGAUGGGUAGGUAGGACUGUGAGUCCAAGUUUUGGCUCUGAGUCAUAUGGACCAGCCAUGGGCACGCUGUCAGCAUCUCUACAUGAUCCCAUGGAGUAUUGGACGAGCCCCCCAGUGCC